rnacentral:rRNA from 1 species
UCCAGACUCCUACGGGAGGCAGCAGUGGGGGAUAUUGCACAAUGGGGGGAACCCUGAUGCAGCGACGCCGCGUGGGUGAAGGAGCGUUUCGGCGCGUAAAGCCCUAUCGGCAGGGAAGAAGGAGGACGGUACCUGACUAAGAAGCCCCGGCUAACUACGUGCCAGCAGCCGCGGUAAUACGUAGGGGGCAAGCGUUAUCCGGAUUUACUGGGUGUAAAGGGGGCGCAGACGGCAGCGCAAGCCAGGAGUGAAAGCCCGGGGCCCAACCCCGGGACUGCGCUUGGAACUGCGCGGCUGGAGUGCAGGAGGGGCAGGCGGAAUUCCUGGUGUAGCGGUGAAAUGCGUAGAUAUCAGGAGGAACACCGGUGGCGAAGGCGGCCUGCUGGACUGCGACUGACGUUGAGGCCCGAAAGCGUGGGGAGCAAACAGGAUUAGAUACCCUCGUAAA